AAUGGUUUUCAUUUUUUAAUUGUUUCAGAUGCUGUGUGACUUUUCUCUGUGCAGCAAUUCCCAUCCUCCUCACACCAGUUGUGGCAGGAGACACCAACAGUUUGGAGCAGAGAAGCACUUCGGAGGGGAAGUGAACUUGGCUAUGCUGAUACACAGAAGACAGAGCAGCAGAGGAGGAAUGGCUUGCCUGGAAACACGUGCACUCAGCGUACUGGCAAACUGAGUCAAACUCAACAUGCGUUUGAGAAGUGUCCUGUUUCAUACCUUGGAAGCUGCCACAGCAGAACCUCACGGGGGGUAAUGCAGGAGAACAGAGAUUUUUGUGUAUAGCAGCAGUUAGAGCUGGUGCCUUCUUGCUGCCCAUCCUCCCCUCUUUCAUGUGUAUGCCCCCAGCUCAGCAGCAACAGGGUUAUCACACUUGGUUCCCUCUCCAGGCACCAGAGACAAAAGUUUCCUAUCAAAACCCCUUUACCUCAGCUUCACAAAAAACCCUCUCCAAACUGCUGCACCCCCAGUGAGGUAAAUGGAGACACAGGUUUCCACAGCUGGUCCCUGUGUUCCUGGAGAUAAGGUGAAUAUUCCCUGACAUCAAGUGCCUGCAAGGGUGCUGCAGCGAGCACUGACUGGAGAGUUGCAAUAUGCCAUUGCCAGUAUGAUGGACUAUGAAUGCUUCCUGUCAUCUGAAAAAAGAAAGGACAUCAUCUGGCCCAGUCAAGCAGAGGAUGAAACAGCUGGUGGAACUGGAGCUGCCUGGGAGCAGGGAACAGCGAGGGUCACCUGAGCCCGGCCCUGUUUAACACCACGCGCCCUGCAGAAGCUGCAGCCACUUCGUAAAGGUCAAAACUGUGUUAUAACGGGACAUGAACUCUGACAUCAUUUCAGAGUGACUGAUCGAUAUGCCUGGCAUGGGAAAGCAGCCAGUCAUCAGGCAGAGCCCCACUGUCGCAGCCAGGCUUGGCAGCACCGCGUGGCUUGCAAGGGAGUUUAUAAUACAGUGUUGCUAAUGUAUCUAUGCUUUAAUUGCUGUUUAGUAAUGAGGUGUUUGGGAGGAGUUGCCCAGGCAGGAGAGAUUAGUGAGGGCCACCAGAAGAAGAGAUACUAAUCAAUGAGGUGAUUGACUUUCUCUGGUCAGAUGUGUUAGCUAACUCCAGGAAAUUAUAUUUUCUUCAUACUCCUCCUACGAAUCUGCAAGAGCUUGGCCUGAUUUCACUGACACCCAGCACUUCAAAGCUGGCCACAUCCAAUCUCAGGAAGCAUACCUGUGUCUGACACAGACCAUAACCCUGUGACCAACAGCUACCUCUGCUCAACAGCAUUUUUCAGGUGAGCAUGCAUACGCAGCAAUUAAGUACUUGCACUGAGAUGUGCAGUAUUGUAACUUACUUUAAUGAGUAAAUCGGUUGUGCCAUCUCAGACACAAUAGACAGAACUUUAGUACUCUUUCCACAGGGCUGCAGUGGUAAUUUCUUUGCCAUGAUAUGCAGCAGAGGCUGUAGGACAGUCACACAUGCUACAGAAACCCUGAGGUCAUGGGGAAACUUUUCAAAUUAAGGAAGGCUCCUGGACAUGAGAUACCUAUGUUUUGCUACAUACACAGUGCUCCGGGGUAGUUUUCAGCUUGUCUUUUCAGCCCACUUUUUUAACCUUUGCAGGGAAAAAUAAUAGAAGUUGUAGGAUGCAAGCUACUUGUCUUUUCUUGAUGGGGUAAAAACAUGUGAGGGACUUUUCAUCUGUAAAAUCCCUGCAAGGAAAAUUAGCAGUUAUGAUGCAGAUCUGUGGGUUUGGAAACUUGGGAUGUAUCCCUGAGAAGCUGACUGGCUGCCUACGUGAUCCUGAAGAAGUCAAUGGACUGGCAAUGAGCUGACCUUUGGUUUGAGCCAAGCCUGAAUGCCUGUAUUUUGAGGGAGGAGGGCUGUUUUGUUUUUUUAUUAUUGUGGCCAUGUUUCUAUGUUUCUGAUUUCCCACUGAGAAGGCACAUGGCCAGAGCAGCCUGCCUGUCCCUGCCUUUCCUGCAGCCUGGUGAACUGGAGGCAACUCUCAUGGCUCUCCUCUGCCCCCUCUCCUUGCGCAUACCUGCAGGGAAGCAAGAUCAUGCCAAAUUGCCGUGUGAGGGGCAUUGCUCAGUGAGUGAGGCUGGCCACAGAGGAGCCAGAGAUGUGACCGAGGUGUUUCUUUCCCCUAACUCUGGCACUUGCAGGCCUCUUUCUGUCCCUCUGAGCCUCAGGGAUGCUUGGCAGAUGGGUGAGGGUGUGGCACUCUGGACAUGUCAGGCUGAGAGUACCUGGUGAGCCGGGCGUGCAUUCCUGCCCAAUAAAUCAGUUAUGGUGAUACAUAUGCCUCCAACAGCUACUGAAACACUUUGGCUUCUGAAUUCCUGGCUCAGUUCACCUCUAUUAUGUCUCCUAUGGAUCAUGGUACCUAAGGGGUUGUUUUUAACUUGUUUAUUUACAAGCUUAAAUAAAUUUAAAACCCUAAAAAAGUGUUCCUGUUACACCAGAGCAAAUUCUUCCUUCUUGAGAAACCGUGCUCUACUCCACCAAUUAGAUUUCUUUUUCUGCUGCUUUGGAAGAAGGUGGUUUAAUGUUCAGCUGCUAGUCCUAUCAAUAAUCUACGAGCUUCUGUACUCGGGCCUAUUCUUGCUUUUACCUGGGGAAUAUUGCUGGUAGUACUGCCUUCUCUGUUUUGCGUAACAGUCCUAGUACUAUAAAUGAAUAGUAGAGAUGCUAUUGCUAUAGUCCUCUUGCAUCAUUAUUUUUUUUUAAUAAAGGCAGGAGCCAUGAAAUAGUUAUGAAAUUUAA